rnacentral:rRNA from 1 species
AUGAACGCUGGCGGCGUGCCUAAUACAUGCAAGUCGAGCGAACAGAUGAGGAGCUUGCUCCUCUGACGUUAGCGGCGGACGGGUGAGUAACACGUGGAUAACCUACCUAUAAGACUGGGAUAACUUCGGGAAACCGGAGCUAAUACCGGAUAAUAUAUUGAACCGCAUGGUUCAAUAGUGAAAGACGGUUUUGCUGUCACUUAUAGAUGGAUCCGCGCCGCAUUAGCUAGUUGGUAAGGUAACGGCUUACCAAGGCAACGAUGCGUAGCCGACCUGAGAGGGUGAUCGGCCACACGGGAACUGAGACACGGUCCAGACUCCUACGGGAGGCAGCAGUAGGGAAUCUUCCGCAAUGGGCGAAAGCCUGACGGAGCAACGCCGCGUGAGUGAUGAAGGUCUUCGGAUCGUAAAACUCUGUUAUUAGGGAAGAACAAAUGUGUAAGUAACUAUGCACGUCUUGACGGUACCUAAUCAGAAAGCCACGGCUAACUACGCG